UGCCCCAUGGCUGAGUUGGUUACAGCGUCCGACUGUUACGUCAUUGUAUCAUCGGAAGGUCGAGAGUUCGAGCCUCUCUGGGGCAG